AUUGAACGCUGGCGGCAUGCUUUACACAUGCAAGUCGAACGGUAACAGGGUGCUUGCACCGCUGACGAGUGGCGAACGGGUGAGUAAUGCGUCGGAACGUGCCGAGUAGUGGGGGAUAACGCAGCGAAAGUUGUGCUAAUACCGCAUACGUACUGAGGUAGAAAGUGGGGGACCUUCGGGCCUCACGCUAUUCGAGCGGCCGAGGUCUGAUUAGCUAGUAGGUGAGGUAAAGGCUCACCUAGGCGACGAUCAGUAGCGGGUCUGAGAGGAUGAUCCGCCACACUGGGACUGAGACUCGGCCCAGACUCCUACGGGAGGCAGCAGUGGGGAAUUUUGGACAAUGGGCGAAAGCCUGAUCCAGCCAUGCCGCGUGUCUGAAGAAGGCCUUCGGGUUGUAAGGGACUUUUGUCGGGGAGGAAAUCCCCAGCGUUAAUACCGCUGGGGGAUGACAGUACCUGAAGAAUAAGCACCGGCUAACUACGUGCCAGCCGCCGCAGUAACAC
rnacentral:rRNA from 1 species